rnacentral:lncRNA from 1 species
CAAACAAUGGCCUAGUGUGGCUCUAAUGCGAACCAUGCAUCCAUUCUUUGAGCCCAACGAACCUAGCAAGAUUCAACUACCUUUGUUCCAAUCCCAGGCAACCAUCCCUUAGCCAACUAAACAAACUAUGAUGGGCAUACAUCCGAAACCAAUGCCAUCGCACCCAUAAGUAUCCUUAGCAUAUAAGAAGGAUAUCCUUGCCUUCGAGAUAUUUGGUUUCGCAUCCGAUAGCCAUGGAAUGCAGUUCAUGAAGAACUUGUUUAUUGGGUAUGGACGUGAAAACAGAAUUUCAUCAACAUUACCUCCAGCCAUUUGGGCUACCCAA